ACACGGGAAAGUCCUGUACGGUUAGCUCCCUCGGAAUCCCCCAGGGCUUGACCGCAGCAAGGGUACUUGGUUGUAGCAACGCGAUACAGACCGCUUUCCCACC
rnacentral:SRP_RNA from 1 species